CACCACUGAAUGCACUAAACGGUGGAAAAACUAUGAAGAUGACAAGUGCAACGAUGGUUGACGAUGAAGAGGAACUUCAUCAAGCACUAGCAGAUGACAUCAUUAGUGCCAAUGGAAAAGAGGUAUUGGACAACAUCUACCAGAAAGUCUUAAGAUCCUCUCAAGCUCUGUCAGGUUGGAUGGGGA